rnacentral:lncRNA from 1 species
GCCCUCCUUCAUGCUAGUAAACAUGUGUAUAACCCAUUGCCAGGCCUGUGCUGGAACAGAAAGAGAUGUAAGACAUGGUGAUGGAUCUUCACUGAGAACAGAUGUGCUGCCAGAUGAGAAGUAUUGCUACCCUUUUACAGAAUUCUUCAUGUGAUCCAUACAUAAAAAUAAAGCUGUUACUGUUCUCAACUUUCCAGAAAAGACCCUGCCAUGCAACCCAGAGCAGAACGCAUGUCACAAAAGCAGUUUCAGAUUCUCUGGCCCACUCUCCCUUCUGCUCAAGAAAGACUAGAAUACUUCCAAAACAUCUUCUCUCUCAUAAAAACUGCGUGAAGCACCAGCAACACCCUGGCAGGAAUGGAGGGAAAGCCAUGACAAUACCUAUUAUCUCUUACCACAUUUGUGAUUUACUGGCCUGUUUUAUAAACAGAACACCCUUCCCUCCUCACAACAACCAGAUGACUUCCAAAGAGCAAGUCACCCUCUUGUGACAGGUGAGGAAACAGAGGCACUAAGGUUAAGUGUUACUCAGGCUUUCCUCACACAAAAGGUGGCUCUGGAGGAAAUCAGAGAAUGCUUCCAGCUAUAACUCUGCAACCUCAGUGUUAUCACCUGGAAAACUGGGAGGAUUGAAAGGGUAGUACUGACUAAAUCCAUCCACUGGGAUAACAGCUUAACCAUUCUGCACACAGUAACAGUUACAGAGAAAGGGAUCUUUCCCUCUGUUAUCAGUGAAAGGAAACAAUUGUAGACUAACUGGAC